rnacentral:rRNA from 1 species
GACGAACGCUGGCGGCGUGCUUAACACAUGCAAGUCGAACGGAAAGGCCCUGCUUUUGUGGGGUGCUCGAGUGGCGAACGGGUGAGUACCACGUGAGUAACCUGCCCUUGACUUUGGGAUAACUUCAGGAAACUGGGGCUAAUACCGGAUAGGAGCUCCUGCUGCAUGGUGGGGGUUGGAAAGUUUCGGCGGUUGGGGAUGGACUCGCGGCUUAUCAGCUUGUUGGUGGGGUAGUGGCUUACCAAGGCUUUGACGGGUAGCCGGCCUGAGAGGGUGACCGGCCACAUUGGGACUGAGAUACGGCCCAGACUCCUACGGGAGGCAGCAGUGGGGAAUAUUGCACAAUGGGCGGAAGCCUGAUGCAGCAACGCCGCGUGCGGGAUGACGGCCUUCGGGUGGUAAACCGCUUUCGCCUGUGACGAAGCGUGAGUGACGGUAAUGGGGAAAGAAGCACCGGCUAACUACGU